rnacentral:rRNA from 1 species
AACUUUGCAUUAAAGUGAGAGGGGACCCCCCGGAUUUUACCCUAU